UACGUAGGGUGCGAGCGUUGUCCGGAAUUACUGGGCGUAAAGAGCUCGUAGGCGGUUUGUCGCGUCUGCUGUGAAAACGCGAGGCUCAACCUCGCGCCUGCAGUGGGUACGGGCAGACUAGAGUGCGGUAGGGGAGAUUGGAAUUCCUGGUGUAGCGGUGGAAUGCGCAGAUAUCAGGAGGAACACCGAUGGCGAAGGCAGAUCUCUGGGCCGUUACUGGACGCUGAGGAGCGAAAGCGUGGGGAGCGAACAGG
rnacentral:rRNA from 1 species